rnacentral:rRNA from 1 species
CUCCAUCACUCCUACGGGAGGCAGCAGUGGGGAAUAUUGCACAAUGGGGGAAACCCUGAUGCAGCCAUGCCGCGUGUGUGAAGAAGGCCUUCGGGUUGUAAAGCACUUUCAGUAGGGAGGAAGGUAGUGUAGUUAACACCUGCAUUAUUUGACGUUACCUACAGAAGAAGCACCGGCUAACUCCGUGCCAGCAGCCGCGGUAAUACGGAGGGUGCGAGCGUUAAUCGGAAUUACUGGGCGUAAAGCGCAUGCAGGCGGCCUGUUAAGUCAGAUGUGAAAGCCCGGGGCUUAACCUCGGAAUUGCAUUUGAAACUGGCAGGCUAGAGUCUUGUAGAGGGGGUAGAAUUUCAGGUGUAGCGGUGAAAAUGCGUAGAGAUCUGAAGGAAUACCAGUGGCGAAGGCGGCCCCCUGGACAAAGACUGACGCUCAGAUGCGAAAGCGUGGGGAGCAAACAGGAUUAGAUACCCUGGUAG